ACUGACUGGCGUGACAUCAUGCCGUGCCGUGCGGCUCCAACAAACUUAAUCAAACAGCAAGCUGCCUUUUGUGAUAGGCGGCGGGUGGCGCGGAUCUGCGGUAGGCGGCAGCAGGCAGAGGGACGUAGCCCGCAGCCCUCCAAUGACAGCUUCAACAGCCACGGUCAGUCCCACCAGCAGAGAUCUGCGGCGGGUGGAGGGGAGUAGCCCAAGGCCUGCCGUUGCCAGCUUCAGCAAUCACGGUCAGUCCAACCGGCAGCAUACACCAUCGGGAAUAGCAACAGCGGGAUGUUUGAACAGCCCAGGCCCUCCACUCUCUGUCAGAGUGGCCAGGCAGCGGUCAAGUGUACACAGGAAUUGCCCUUGAUGGCGGCCCUGCAAAGGCCCAUGGGAGAAGUUGCUGUGGCUGGUCAUGUGGAGCAGCCCUCUUGUUGGUAAACUUGUUCAAAUGUUUAUCAACUACAGUGAGCCACAUAUACAGUACAACAUUGUCCCCCUGCUACUGUGAUUAUAUACUGCAGCUGGAGGACACACAUUUACUCCUUCAUCACGGGCUACACAAUAUGGAUUAAAGUGUCAGAGACUGACUGAACUAUCCUGAUAGUCUCCACCUAAUACCAGCAAUAGUGGUUGUCUCUGUGAUUCUGAGCCCUUACACAGUCUGCCUUGUGUGACACCCACCUAGGCAAGUAUCAUAAAAUCCUCACUAGAUGUCCUCCCAUCCGGUCAGUGGGCAGCAAGAUUGUGUUACCUGUUCAUUUGGACAAAAUUCCUGUGGACUUUUCAUCUGUGUGUGGUCCAAACAUUUAUGGUUGAACGGACUCUAUAAAUAUUGCACUUAAAUCUGCUGAUACUCCUUCGGACCAACGCUAAUUGGAUCUCACCCUGGCAAAUACCUCAGGACAGCCUCCAGCCACCAUCUCUCCUCUAAGAUGGCUGCUCAAUGACCACCAGCUCUCACACCAGCCAGCAUGAGCCAGCCUCUCCCUGACGCUGCAUGUGAUAUCUGUGUAUCCAGUGCACGGGUGAGAGUUCCCAUUCACCAUGUGCUAGCUCUGUAGCUCUAAUCAUACUGUCACCAAUGAUGCUCUGGCUC